GUGUCAGCAGCCGCGGUAAGACGGAGGGUGCUAGCGUUGUUCGGAAUUACUGGGCGUAAAGGGCGCGUAGGCGGCCACGGCAGUCGGGUGUGAAAGCCCGGGGCUCAACCCCGGAACGGCAUCCGAUACUCUGUGGCUCGAGACCGGAAGAGGUGGGUGGAAUACCCAGUGUAGAGGUGAAAUUCGUAGAUAUUGGGUGGAACACCGGUGGCGAAAGCGGCUCACUGGUCCGGUUCUGACGCUGAGGCGCGAAAGCGUGGGGAGCAAACAGGAUUAGAUACCCUGGUAGUCC
rnacentral:rRNA from 1 species